rnacentral:rRNA from 1 species
CCCGGGCCUUGUACACACCGCCCGUCACACCACGAGAGUUUGUAACACCCGAAGUCGGUGGGGUAACCUUUUUGGAGCCAGCCGCCUAAGGUGGGACAGAUGAUUGGGGUGAAGUCGUAACAAGGUAGCCGUAUCGGAAGGUGCGGCUGGAUCACCUCCUUUCUAUGGAGA